rnacentral:rRNA from 1 species
UAGAGAGAGACAUGCGCGCAUAUCAAUAAGCGGAGGAAAAGAAACUAACAAGGAUUCCCUUAGUAACGGCGAGUGAAGCGGGAAGAGCUCAAAUUUGAAAUCUUCAAGGUUCUACUUUGACGAAUUGUAGUUUAUAGAAGUGUUUUCUGUUAGUGGAGUGGCAAAAAUUCUUUGGAAUAGGACAUCAUAGAGGGUGAGAAUCCCGUAUUUGGUCAUUCCUCCUAGCGUUGUGAUACACUUUCAACGAGUCGGAUUGUUUGGGAAUGCAGUCCAAAAUGGGUGGUAAAUUUCAUCUAAAGCUAAAUAUUGGCGAGAGACCGAUAGCGAACAAGUACCGUGAGGGAAAGAUGAAAAGAACUUUGAAAAGAGAGUUAAACAGUACGUGAAAUUGUCAAAAAGGGAAGCGUUUGACACCAGUGUUGUUUUUUCCGAAAAUCAGUUACUGAACUGUUUUGUUUUUGAGGAGUUAUGACUUCAUCGGCUUGCUCCUUUCUUUACGAAACUUUCUUAAUGCACUUUUCGGUUAACAAGUCAACAUCAAUUUCUUUUGUUGUAAAAGGGUAUGAGGAAGGUGGCUUUCUUUUCGGAGAAAGUGUUUAUAGCCUUGUGCCUCUGCAAUCGGAGAGAUUGAGGUCUGCAGCGUAGAUCCUUCGGGGUUAGAUACAGUUAGAUGCUAAGUUAUAGCUUUUUCAUAGACAACUUGUUGACUAUAAUUUAAUCAUUGUAGCUUACUCGCUUAUGGCUAUUUUACCUACGCUUAGGAUGUUGAUAGUCACAGCGUGUAC